rnacentral:lncRNA from 1 species
UUUUUUCUUGAUGAGUCUGACAAGUUUUAUCAAUUUUGUUUUUUAAUAUAUAAUUAAAUCCAACUGAUUUAAUGUGUCAUUUAAUACCAGUGUUUUCUUAUAGAUUUUCUGUCUGCAUGACCUGUCCAUUGGUUCAAGCAGGUUGUUAAAAUCCCCCACUAUUAUGUUACUGUCAAUUUCUUCCUUAUGUAUGCGUACAUUUGCUUUAUGUAUUUAUCUGUCCCUACUUUGGAUGAAUAUAUAUUUACCAUUGUCAUCAUCUUGAAUUGAUUCCUUUGUCAUUACAUAAUGCCUUCAUUUGUCACUAUGUAAUUUCUUUAUCACUACAUAAUGCCUUCCUUUAUCUCUUUGUUUAAAAGUCUGUUUUGUCUGAUAUAAGUAUUUUUCCUCAUGCUUCCUUUUUGUUUUCAUUUGUAUGGAAUACCUUUUACCAUUCUCUUACAUUAAGUAUGUGUGUAUCUUUAGAUCUGAAAUGGGGUUUUUAAAAGUAUAUUUAGCCACUCCAUGUCUUUUGACUAGAGCAUUUAGUUAAUUUACAUUUAGAGUAAUUAUCAAUUAUCAAUAGGGAUGCACUUAUUGCCCUUUUAAAAACUGAUUUCUGGUGGUUUUAUGGUUCUUUUCCCCCUUCUCUUCCUGUGUUCUGUUGUGAUUUGAUGACUAUUAUUAUGUUUGCAUUCCUUUCUCUUUUUUGUGUAUAUCUAUUUUAGAUACUUGGUUUGUGGUUACCAUGAUAUAUGGUAAAACAUAACAUAUAUAGAGAGAAGGAUCAAGAUGGCAGGGGAGUAAGAUGUCAUGCUUACUUUCUUCCAAAAACACAUCAAAAAAACACAUCUACAUGUAAAAUAAUUUGCACAGAACAUCUAUAGAACUCUGGCAGAGGAACUUAAGCCUCCAAAAAUGGCAAGAAACUCUUGACAUAACUGGACAGAACAAUAGAAAAAUAGAGAGAGAGAUAAUCAGGACAGGACUAGCAUUCUUGAGAGGGAACUGUGAAAGAGAAAAGGAACCCACACCCUGGGAAACCACCUAAUUGACCAGGAGAUCAGCUGAGAUGGAGGGACCUCAAAGUGGCCAAGAAAAGUGCAGCAGUUGGACUGAGGAGGGCAAAGUAGAGUGAGAACAGAACAGAUCAUCUUCACCACCACCCUGGACACCACAGCCUGAGAUGAUUGGGUGGGCCCGGAUGCUGAGACCAGGGCUCCAGAGGUCAGUUCCAGGGAGAGGACCAGGGUUGGCUGUGUGAGGACAGCUUAAGGGACUAAGGAGCAGUGUGGCAUGGGUUGGGGAGCAGUGUGCUAUGGGCUGGGGAGUGGAAUGACAUGGCAGAGGGAACCUGGGAGAAGGUCUUGGCCCAUAGGAGAUGCAAGGUGCCAUUGUUUGGAAGGGCAAAAGCGUGAAGGGUGGACCUCUAUAGGAAUCUCCUGGCACAUGUGCUCAUGGGCUCUCAGAGGGCAGGGCACCUCUGGCGCAGGCUACGUGUGGCCAGGUACCUUUUGUGUGGGCUAAGGGCAGUGGGAAGUAAGUGCGAUGUUGUGCCUCUUGUGUGAUCUACAGGCAGUAGGGUCAGACUGUGGAGGUCAUCUUGAAGACCAGAGGGAACUGUGGCCUGCCACCACUGGGGUCCUGUGAGUGGGCUCCACCCAGGUGGUCAUGGCCCACUACCAUUAAGGGUUCCCAUAGAGGCACCACUUGCAGCCCCAAAUACCUCAGAGGAAGGCAUCACUAUCAAACAUUACCUAUUGCUGCUCUUACUCCCCUGGGAACUCACACACCCUGCUGCUGCCAUUGCCAAAUACUCUGGGCACCUUAUAAGUCUGCUUAAGGCCCAUUACUACUUCCCAGGGCUCUGCAGCUAGGAAUAGCCUGUGCCACCUUCC